rnacentral:lncRNA from 1 species
CGUAACCGUGAUUGUCUCUUUCGUGAGUUCCUUCUCCGAUCGAGGACACGGUGGGGUUAUGUCUGACGUAGAUAGAUGUUCAGGAUCAUUCAUUUGAUCAUCAGUAGUUCACGUCCGUUAUGCGUAGAUCUUCCCCCUCUUAUUUCUUGUACUCGUAAGUUAGCCACCAAAUAUAUGCUUAGUCGCUGCUGCAACCUCACCACUUAACCUUACCUCACCCAUUAAGCUUUGCUAGUCUUGAUACCUUUGGAAAUGAGAUUGUUGAGUCCCCUGUGGCUCACAGAUUACUACAACACCAGUUGCAGGUACAGGUUAAGAUUUCUUGAGCGAGCGCGUUGAUUGUUCAUUUGGAGUUGCUUCUUCUUCUUCUUUUUCUUCAACGAUCUAGGAUGGGUUCCAGGCCAGCAGCCUGGGAU